rnacentral:snRNA from 1 species
AUCGCUUCUCAGCCUUUUGGCUAAGAUCAAGUGUAGUAUCUGUUCUUUAUCAGUAAAGAGCAAAUCUCUUUCCUAGGGGAUUAUUCCAUCUUCAUGGUGUAUGAUGAAAAAAGGCCAUUUGAGUCCCUAAGUUUUGACCUUAGGGUAUGGCAUCAUGGCCUUCACCCAUAGAGGUUUUACUCUCC